ACACGUCUACAUUAGAUACCCCUGUAGUCCCAGCCGUAAACUAUGCGCGUUAGGUGUAUCGGUGACCACGAGUUACCGAGGUGCCGAAGGGAAACCGUGAAACGUGCCGCCUGGGAAGUACGGUCGCAAGGCUGAAACUUAAAGGAAUUGGCGGGGGAGCACCACAACAGGUGGAGCCUGCGGUUUAAUUGGACUCAACGCCGGGAAGCUCACCGGAUAGGACAGCAGAAUGAUUGCCGGGCUGAAGACCCUGCAUGACUAGCUG
rnacentral:rRNA from 1 species